GAUCAGAAACAGAGAAGAAGAAGUAGCGGACGGAAGGGAGGGAAAAGAGAAGAAGGGGAAAAAAAAAAAGAAAGAAAGAAAGAUAAAGGAAUUAGGUUUGUGGUUCGGAGGCGGCGACGAGUACCGUGACUCCACGUAGGUAGUGAGCUCGUGUUGGUACUUUUUGGCUGGGCCUCGAGUGUUUUCUUUUCAGGUGCGUGACGGCACGCGGGUCCACUGCAGAGUCUAGACAGGAGUUGUGUAUAUAGAAGUCUAGCUUUUUGACUCUUUUGAUUAUGUGCCUAUUUUUGGAGCUUGUAUAUGUUGUAAAUAUAUGUGGGCACGUCUUGUAUGACAGUUAUUUCCGUAUAUAUGCAAGUUACGUUUUUUUUUUU